AUUAGUUUUAAAAUGUGUGCCCUUUAUUAUCAUAAUACCAAAGAGAAAGAAAAAAGUGUUCUUUAACUCCUUAAUGGCAGCAUCUAGGCAAAUUUAUUUACUGCCUCUGUCAAUGAUAAAGUUUCCAAACUUAAGAAGACUCAGGCUGCUUCCAAGCUAUAAGGAAGAGAUGCUCUGUGUACAUUUCUGAGUCUGAGAUUUGUUAAAGGUCUUCUUCCUUUGUUACUCACGGUCUCCAUGCAUCACUUGCUUGCCUGACAUGUCAGCAAACCAGAUGGAAUUUCUCCCCAUCACCACUCCCUACCCUCUGGACCACGGAACUUGGGCCCUGCCAUUUGGCAGUAUAGAAUGGCCCGUGUCUUAUCUUCGUAUGGCAGUGCUUGGAUGUACUCUUGAGUACUGGAGCAGCAACAUUUCAGGACUUCUUGGGUGGAAGAAAGUUGGCAGAGAGAAAGUCCACAAUCAAGAAGUUACCACUCAGUCUGUUGGGCUUGCCUCAAUCUUCGUGCGCAUCUGUGGUGGUAGUUCCAGAACCUCAAGGGGAAGUUCACCUAAUUAAAGGAGAUGUAAAUCUGGAAAACACACGGACUGGCAAUGAAAACUAAUUAACCCAAUUAUUCAUUCAAUCAGCGGUUCCACGGUAAGCGUGUACUGCAUCAUCUGUCCUGAGAGGGUGCAGUGUGAACAAAACCAGAGAUGGCCUCAGCCCUUGAAGAGUUUAGGGUCUAGAGCCAUUCCGUAAAUGCUUGCUAAUUUGAUUUGACUAUAUGCUAAUUCAGCAUAUUCCAGGCAUGGAUUAUUUGGUUGAAAAAUAAGGAUAACAGGACAAAUGCUUCUGUUGCUAUUGUUCAGUUGCUAAGUUCUGUCCGACUCUUUGCAACCCUGUGGACUGCAGCAUGCGUCUGUCUUUCACUAUCUCCAGAAUUUUCUUCAGAUUCAUGUCCGUUGAGUAGGUUGUUUCAAAUGCAAGAAUGAUGUCUAAAGCCAGUCAUUUAGUCAAAGCCAAAGUCACUGGUAUGAAACGUUGGUGGGAAGUAAAUUAUUCAACUGAAAUUUCAACUUGGAUUCCCCAGACAGUUUGCUCAGCUUCUCUUCAUCUUCU
ensembl:lncRNA